UGGCCCUUUGUAUCCCAGUGAGCAGUUACACAGAGAAAUAGUGACUCCGUCUCUUCCUGACUGAGAGGCAGGAUGCAGAACUGAACCUACAAUCUUGGCAGAUUUCACUCAGCUCCCAUACUCCUUCUGUGACGGAGAGACUAGCCAAAACGGAAAUAAUGACCAAGUUAUGGUGGGUUUUUUCUCCUUGGCCCCUAACCUAUUUACUCUAAGGUAAAUAACCUGUAUUUUAUGUGUAGCCAAACUGCUAUCCUAUAUUGCCUUCAACAAUAUGUAUCUGAUAGAAGCUGCGAAUCACAAUUUAACACCUGUCACAAAUGAAUACAACACAGAACUGGAAACUUCAGGAGAAUUUUGGAGUUUGGUUUGACAAAUUUAGAGAGAGGUUAUGUAGAAAGGAUGGUUUCUCCACAGCAUUCUUCCUAGCUAGCCUUUCAAGCAAUUUGCUUUGUUAGGCAACUGUAGUUAAUAAAGAUCUGCUUCUUGUUCUGUGUCCAGGGAACUACUUUGUAAUACCGGUGUUGGGGGUAGAAAUACCACAGUUGGUGCAAGCAAACUGUAGUGGACCAGGUUUGACUGUUUCCCAGCAAUUACGUUUCCAGGAACAUGAUGUAACUUGUGGUAUAGCCAAAUCUUUGAGCUAACAAGUAGUGAUAUUACUGGGGUUACUGCAGUCAUUCUGAAUUAUUGAGGAAACUUCUAAAAUGUGUUCUUAGUCUGAAAUUUGGCUUACCAAAAUCUUGGCCAGAGAGGUGCAUUUUAAAACAAACAAAACCGAAAAGGAAAUUUUAAAUCCAAAAUUGCCUUAAAUGUAUUAGAAGUAAUUUAAAAUAAAGUUAUGUCAAACUAAAAGGAAUAGAAAUUUGGAAUUGUCAGACGUUUUAUUAUGUGAUAUCAGCUAAUGUUUGUGGAGAUUUUAAGAACUUAAUGUUAAAGAUUUUGCAACCAAUGGAUAGACCAACAUUUUAAGACAUUACAGUAGCAUUACUUAAAAUAGCCCAAGAAAAUGAUUUGGGCACAUUAUAUUUUAUAAGUACAGUGUAUCAGUAAGGAUACUGAUGUUUUUUUCCAAUUGCAUCUUUAUUGAAUUCAAAACGUGGCUUAAUCUAAGGUGACUGGUUUCUAAAUUUAAAAUCAAAACAACUUGGAAUUAGAAAUUGCAGAUUUGCAGUCUACCCAAGUUAUGAGCAUGCAGGAAGCUUUUGUAUAUUAAAGGCAUAUAUUGUAUGCUAAGUAAAUUUCAUGAACAAAUAAUACAUGAAUUAAUGAAUAAAUAAAUAAAAGAACCAGUCAAGAUGCAACAGGGAUGACCAUAUAAAAUUUACUGGCACUCAGAGACUGAAUGAUUUUAAUGUUUCCAUGUUUCAGUCAUUGUUUAUAAAAUGGAAAUAAUAGAUUAACCUUAUUUGCAGUGUUGUAUGAGAUGAAACAACACACACAAUAUGCCUAACAAUGCCUUGCCCAUGGUAGUCAGUGUUCCUUUUCUCUACAAUGAAAAUGGAGCCUUAAUUUAAAAAAAUAAAUUCAGAAUCUCUUUGCUAUAAGUGGAAAGAGACAUUUAGAGAGGCCAGUCUAAUUGGCAGCUCCUAAUUUCCAUGAUUUCUAUCGUCAUGUCUCUAGAGAUCAUUUCCUAAAGGAAAUUUCCCUCCCCUACCUCUCUCCUUGGUCACAAGCCCAUACUUGUAAUGCAAGGAUUAUGAAAAGUGUGCAAGGAUUACGAAAAGUGCUCAAAAAAGUAGGGAGAGUAUUAUCAUAGUUACUUUUACAGCAUACUCUUGAAUCUUGAAUACAAUGCUGGUAUGCGUGGAUUACAGCUUGAAAAUCAAUGGCUUCCAUUCACUCAAACUUUUGUUGAGUUUUGACUGUGCUAAUAGCAGGAGUGAUAAAGAUAAAAUAAGGCCUACCCCUGGCCUUGGGGAGCUAAUUGCAUAGGGGGCAGGCUUGUCCAAUAUUAGCUAUUUUGCAAGGUAUAAAGUGCUAGAAGAGAGGCAUGGAUUAGAAUGGGAGCAGAGAGAGAGCAAAUAAUUCAGCCUUAGGAAUUAAAGAAACCUUCAUAGAAAAAGGUUGCAAUUGUUUGAGACCCCUGAAAGAUGAAGUGGCAUUUGGCAGGAGGGGGGAUGGGGAAGCUGAGGGUGGGUGUCUGAGGCAGGAAAGCAGGGGGGUCCUAGAAAGAGUGCUGUUACACAUGAGCAUGACGGGGUGUUUAUCUGUAGCGGUAGUUUUUUAAAGCUAUACCAUUUUAAACUGAAACCUUAUAUAGAAUUCCACAUGGAAAAAAGAUAAAAACAAAGAUGCCUUUUUGAAACAGGGAGAAAGAGCUGGUAUCACAGCUGCAGGCUCUGUGACCUCCCCAUGGUAACACAGGAGGGCAUUCUCAGGGAAGGAAGAAAAGAGUGGUUAGGAGACCGUGUAGACCAGGGUUGGAGGCCAGAAUAUGUCACUUUAGACAGACUGGACUUCUUAAGUCCUCCGAGGGCUUAUGAGUCACCAAACAUUUUUAAGCAAGCAAAUAGCAUCAACUCUAUCAGAAAGAGAGUCCUAGGCUUUCUGUGAAGUGGAUCAGAGUAGAGACCUGUUUGUUAAUCAGGUAUUCCGAGAGUCUAGAUGUUAAAGGAAGUGCAGGAACUAAUUUGCCUAGAUCUGAGUUCUGAUGUAGGCUCCUUCUCUGCCAAAUUGCCUGACCUUUAAAUGAAAGAAUCUUAGAUUCAAAAGCAAACUUCCAUGUGUAGUGAGGCAACUACCUUCCUACUUUGGGUAUCUCUUGAACAAAGCAGCUGAUAAAUGACCAGACCAGUGUAUGGCCUGGAAUGUUUACAUGAUAUGAGACACAUUGUAUUAGGAAGAGUCUCUUUCUUUCUUGGUAACCCUAAUGGCAUUUAAAAACCUAAAUAAUAAAAAACUUAAUUUUCAACUAGAGCAAAUCUUCUGUUGGGGAUUUUACUGGAUGAGCUCUGAAUAUUUAUACACAGCCCUCAAAUUUUUCUCUGCCUUUUCUGAGGAAAUCCUUCCAGCGUUCAUGGGACUGGUUGCUUUCUUGUUUGCCCUCCGUAGAUGCUAUCUGUGAAAAACUGGAAUCCAGAGAUGAAAUGAAGUCUUCAGAGGAAUGGGGCUAUCCUUCCUCUUGAUUUAGAAGUACUGCUUCCUCAAGAAGCAUAUGAUUGCAAUAAUAUUUUAAUAGCCAGGUCAUCCUUACAGCCUUUCGUCAACUCAGUAGCCUUCAGCGAGUCUGUUAGCCCAUCCUGUCCAAGGGCCCUCCAGCUUCACAGUAGGGUCACACCUGCCUCCUGUUUAUGGUAAUUAUGGAUAAUAUGAUGUUAAAUUAAAUUUACAGGCAAUGUUGUACUUGAAAUUCAAGGUGACCCAGUUGUUGUGCAGAUGUAGUUUUAAGAAAGACAAAAGAACCAUUGACAAGAAAGUAAUCUGUAUCAAAAGCAUAUUAAACAGCUUCUGGAAAAAAAAAAAAAAAAGACAUGUUUCCUAGGAUUUUGCAUUCUGUGACCCUUACUACUUUUGUUUUAGCAAUAAAACAUUUAGCCUGACUAUUCUAUAAAUAGAUUUUCAAUUUAUAUUGCCAGGUAAUACACAAUUUGAUGAGAGUGAAGAUGCUUUUCCUGAGAGGCUAGUUAAUUGGUUUAUAUAUUAUUGUCUUGUAUGUGUCUCAGUUUUUCCCUUGGCUUCCAAGCCUUUGAGGCGAACGUUACUUUCUCCAACAGAAUAUUCUCUUGGCUGACUUCAGCAAAGGAGUGACCAAGUCUGCUCUACAUUCAUUGGCAGUGAUGUUGCAGUAAUCGGAAUAAAAUAAGGUCUUUGGGAGAAUCUGGCUCAGACAAUAGGAGUUACAAAGUAAAAACACACAGAUCCUUACUGUUAGCCCUCUUUCUACAUGCUUGGAGCUGAACACCGUUUGACAAUCACAUGCCAGUGCAUUUUAUAAAACUGAGCCAUUUCCCUGCCUGCGUUAGAUAAGACCCUCCCCCCUUUGUAUUAUAUCAGUGACAUCCAAAAGCUUUUAGAAGCUACUUGGCAUCCUUCACAGGUAGUCUUAAAGCAGUUACUGAACUUCGUAACAACAUUGAAGCUCUUGGAUGUGGUGGUAAACUGUGUUCGGCUCUGGGGAUUUAAAAAAAAACAUUACAGAUGCAGUUAUCAGCUCUUCUGUGAUCAAUCUUGUUAAAAUUCUGCUUCUUGUGUCCUGUUGAUACAUUAUGCAAACAACAGACAUAGAAUCCAAGUUGUUGGCUGCACUUUUUUUUUUUAUCAUAAAACUAAGAAAAAUGUGAUUCUCUAACAAAAACUGUGGGUACUCUCUGAAAAUGAUAAUUAUAUUUUCAAGAUCCUAUUGCUUCUCCGAUGUUGAUGGACCUGAUAUUUGAUUUUCCCCUCUCCGUGGGACCGUAGGUGUGUUUCGUCUGUUCAAGUAUGAACCUUUUUUAAGAGAGGAAGAAAGAAUAUUACUGUACCCUUGGCCACUUCUAAAACAUGAUUGGUAUCUGCAUAACGCCGUUAGCCAAAAAAAAAUGUGCCAUUGGUGCCAGACAAAUCUAAAUAAGAUUUUGAUGCAGGAUCAAUGGAAAUAUAACACGUAUAAGGAUGAACAACUUGUCCUGUAAGAUAAGUAUAAGCUCGUCUCAUACUUUUUGUGGUUCUCUUCUGUGGUUUUCAUUUUUGUUCCUUUGCUCUUCUCAGUCAAGUUUUAUCUAAUCUUCCAGGUACUGUAUUUCUUCCCUGCUCAAAAGUGUGAACCUCUAGAGACUAGGUCUGUCUUACUAUCCCCGUCAUAUACCACGGGAUACAGUUGGGUGUAUUUGGUAAGGUAGGCAAAUGUAUGGGUGGGUGAGUAGAUGGGUAGGUAAAUGUAUGGAUGGAAGGGUAGACCAGGGCACCUCUUCCCUACCACCAUAAUUGCUGGAAUCCUAGAGACCUAAUGGUUGGUCUGUAAUCUCUGACAAUCUUGAAGUUGCAGGGUGGUCUCAAAGAACUUUAUUGCCUCUUGGAGUAUACUUUGAAACUACAAGGCUUGGAGGAAGAAUCUGGAGUAUCUUAAAAGGAAUUAUAAAAGACUUAGGCCAGCUCUGUUAAUUUUGCAUCAAUAGAAAGUCUUUGAUUUUUCCCAAAUGAAGUUAUAAUUUAGAAAUGGGGUGUGAUUUUAUGACAGCGGUAAUGAUUUCUGCAGAGACAACAGAUGUCCCUGUGGCUAUGAUUUAUAUGAUUUUCUUUUAAUAAAUAAGACCAAUCUCUUUUGUUUAACAAAGGUGCUAAUUAUAAAUAUUAGUUUAGCACUAAUUUUGCAUGUAAAUUCAUAGAGUGAGACAAAAAAAUAGAAGUCUUGUUUAUGUAAUUUGAAUUUUGGUUUACUCCACAGUUGAAUAAUUCAGUUGCCUGUGAGUAUUUUGUUUGUUUGUUUGUUUGUUUGUUUUCAAUGACUUUAUAUUGGUUUUUAUGUAAAUUUUGAUGGACUCUUGGUGGGCUUGGGGGUACUUCUGUUAGGGAUUUUAUGUAUGCUUUAACAGUUUGUUCCAGCAAUCGAGUAAACUUUAGUUCAACUUGGGACAUUUGAGUUGUCAAUUUGGGAAUCCUUUGCCAAGCCAUCACAGGAGUAUUGGCAAAGAUAAACUUUAAAAUAAAUUUCCUUAUAUUUUGUCUAGACUUCUAAGUACUAACUACAUCUGCUUUGCAGAGAAUCAGAUUAGGCCAGGAGAGUCUUAUGUCUUCAUUAUGCCAUUAUUUGUAGUACAUAGUGUUUGGAUAAAAUAUAAUUUUUCUGAUAUCUCUAAGCAAGUUAUAAAUAAGCAAAACUUCUUAAGAAUGAUGGCAAUUUCGUUACCUUCACAUGAGAGCCUCCCAUGUGCUCUCAUCAAAAUAGCCAUUGCUAUAGUCAGCCAUAAAUUGCUGGGUAUUAAUUACAUACAUACUACAUAUUGAAUUGGCUACCAAAGUAUGAUUGACUUGAAUUUCUAGAUACUGAUUAAACAGUUAAAAUAGAUUAUUGGAAAAUGUAUUUCUAAGAUACAGAAUAGUUUAAGGAUUAUGUUAGAUAAUUUAAUCCCUUGAUAAAAGGUGUAUAAUAUUAAUAAUAUAUGAAAACGCCUCAAAUAAAAAUGUUUCCAUUGCUGACAGAAAGUGGGGGUAAAUGAUAGGUUUAUUUUAGUUUGUUAGCACACUAGGAUGUCCCCCUGAAUUGCAAAUAUAUUGAAGGCUACAACAACUCUGGUGAUACGGAGGUAAACAUAAGUGAAGUGUUUUAAGCGACUAAUCC